CAGUCGACGGCAGCACGGGGGCAACCCUGGUGGCGAGUGGCGAACGGGUGAGUAAUACAUCGGAACGUGUCCUGGAGUGGGGGAUAGCCCGGCGAAAGCCGGAUUAAUACCGCAUACGCUCUGUGGAGGAAAGGGGGGGAUCGCAAGACCUCUCGCUCAAGGGGCGGCCGAUGGCAGAUUAGGUAGUUGGUGGGGUAAAGGCCUACCAAGCCGACGAUCUGUAGCUGGUCUGAGAGGACGACCAGCCACACUGGGACUGAGACACGGCCCAGACUCCUACGGGAGGCAGCAGUGGGGAAUUUUGGACAAUGGGCGCAAGCCUGAUCCAGCAAUGCCGCGUGUGUGAAGAAGGCCUUCGGGUUGUAAAGCACUUUUGUCCGGAAAGAAAACUUCUGUCCUAAUACGGCGGGGGGAUGACGGUACCGGAAGAAUAAGCACCGGCUAACUACG
rnacentral:rRNA from 2 species